GCCUGGGUGGCUCAGUAGGUUAAGCUUCUGACUUCAGCUCAGGUCACGAUCUCAUACUCCGUGAGUUCGAGCCCCGCAUCAGGCU
rnacentral:tRNA from 1 species